rnacentral:rRNA from 1 species
UGGGGGAAUAUUGCACAAUGGGGGGAAACCCUGAUGCAGCGACGCCGCGUGAGUGAAGAAGUAUUUCGGUAUGUAAAGCUCUAUCAGCAGGGAAGAAAAUGACGGUACCUGACUAAGGAGCCCCGGCUAACUACGUGCCAGCAGCCGCGGUAAUACGUAGGGGGCGAGCGUUGUCCGGAAUUACUGGGCGUAAAGGGAGCGUAGGCGGUCUGAUAAGUUGGAUGUGAAAUACCCGGGCUUAACUUGGGGGGUGCAUCCAAUACUGUUGGACUAGAGUACAGGAGAGGAAAGCGGAAUUCCUAGUGUAGCGGUGAAAUGCAUAGAUAUUAGGAGGAACAUCGGUGGCGAAGGCGGCUUUCUGGACUGCAACUGACGCUGAGGCUCGAAAGCGUGGGGAGCAAACAGGAUUAGAUACCCUGGUAGU